GGGUGACUAGAAGGCACAUGUACUAUUUGAAGACGAUAAUAAUCAAAUCAGGUCGGAGGAAAAAAGUGAUACUGAAAACAACCAUCUCAAAGAAGUCUCAAACAGUGUGGGUAUUUCACCCGAAAAAAGAGGCAGAAGCAGCAUAGGAGAAAUGCAAGAAAAAAGAGAGACAAAACCGUACCAACCUCUAAAGGAAGGUACUCAAACUGAACCUUUUUAACAUUAUUUUUAUGAUUGAUUCCAUUUUUUGGGACAUAAACAGAGUUAGAUCCAAAAAAGUUGUCCAUAGGUUGAAACACUUGAUCAGGAUUCACAAAUCUGUUUUUGUGGCCAUUAUGGAACCUCUUGUGGAAAAAAAAAUAGAAGGAUAUAGAAAAUUCUAGGUUUCCAGGAUUGUAUGUCCAACACCAACGACAAACUUUGGAUGUUCUGGUCCUUUAUUGAUCAAGCUGAUAUUCUAAGUAACAAAGAGCAACAACUCACUACCAAAUUCAGAAACAACACUAACACUAAAGAAUUCCAUGUUACAUCUGUUUAUGCAAAGUGUACCUCAAAGGAAAGGAAAGAUCUUUGGGGUGAAAUUGAAAGCUUGAGUGUGAUUAUUAAAGGCCCAUGGUGCAUUGGAGGAGACUUUAAUGUUAUCAUGGAGUUUAAUGAAAAACUCGAGGGUAACAACCAUAGAGCUUACAAGAGUGUUGAUUUUAUUAGUUGCAUGAAUAAUUGUGGUAUGAUAGAUUUGGGCUAUAACGGAUCUAGAUUUACAUGGUGCAACAAUAGGAGACCUGCUAAAAGAAUUUGGAAAAGACUUGACAGGAUUCUAGUUAAUUCCGAAUGGGACACUCAAUUUCAGAUUAACGAUGUCUCUCACUUGUCUAGAAGUGGUUCUGACCACAAGCCUUUGCUUAUGAAGAGCUACAAUGACAAUAUCGAUCACAUCAUCUACUUUAAAUUUCUAAAUUUUUGGGUUGAGCAACCGGGUUUUACCGAACUAGUAUAAGAGGUGUGGGGAACCAACAUCAUAGGCAACCCUAUGUGGAUUCUACAAUCCAAACUUAAACUGUUGGGUAGGCAAUUGAGCAAUUGGUCCAGAAAUUCUAUUGGUGACAUUCACAAUGAAGUUAUGAACUGGAAAACCAAAGUGCAAAUGCGGGAAGAAAUUGAUGAGAACUACAACACUAAACAGAGCAGAGAAGAGCUUAAUAAAGCUCACAGUGAGUAUACUAGGUGGUUGGGAAUCCAAGACAACCUAUACAGUUAGAAAGCUUAGGUAAAAUGAUUUGAAGAGGGUGACAAAAACACAAAAUACUUUCAUGCCAUUUUGAGAAAUAAGAGAAUAAGUAUUCAAAUUCAUAAAAUCAAGAAUCAUAAAGGCAAUCGGGUACACAGCAAAGACAAAGUGGCCAUAGCUGCAAUCAAGCACUUUAAGAAGUUGUUUAAUCUUAAAAGCCCCAAUAUCCAGGGGAAUAUCCUAAAGAUCAUCACCCCAUGCAUCACUGAUGAAGACAAUAGUCUCCUGAUAGGUAUGCCCGAUGAAAAUGAAAUUAAAAAUGCUAUAUUUGAUAUGUCUCCGGAUAGUGCUGCAGGUCCAGAUGACUUUAAAGGUAAGUUUUAUCAGACGUGCUGGAAUACUAUAAAGCAUGACAUCAUUAGUUUUGUGGAUAACUUCUUUAGAGAAGAUAAUAUCACUAAAUUCUUCUCUCAUACAUGGUUAGUUCUUAUUCCAAAAUGUGAGAAUCCUAGUACUUUCUCUGAUAUGAGGACUAUUAGUCUUACUAACUUUUCUAAUAAAAUCAUCUCUAAUAUCCUUGCUAAUAGAUUGAAUCCUUUCUUAACUCGCUUAUUUUUGGAAAAUCAAAAUGUUUUCAUUAAAGGAAGAUCAAUUACUGAAAAUAUUUUAUUAGCUCAAGAGAUUGCUCAAGAUAUUACUAAGUACAACAAGGGUGGUAAUAUGAUCAUUAAGCUAGACAUGGCUAAGGCAUAUGACAGGAUGUCCUGGUCCUUUAUUCAUGUGGUUUUAACUAGAUUUAGUUUUUCUGAUAUUUGGAUAAAUUGGAUUAUGAAAUUGAUUAAUAAUGUUUGGUAUUCUAUUAUUAUUAAUGGUACCCGGUAUGGCUUUUUCUCUUUCAGUCAAGGUCUGAAACAAGGCGACCCCUUAUCCCCCCCUUUAUUCAUAUUGGGAGCUAAAGUUCUUUCUAAAAUGCUUAAUUGUCUUAAUCACCACCCUGAUUUUACUCCUUUUUUACAUGAGCAAUAAAGGUCCUAUGGUUAAUCAUCUUGCAUAUGCCGAUGACAUAAUGAUCUUCUCUGGGGGCAAUAAUAAGUCUAUAAAGCUGGUUAUGAGAUGCAUUAGUGACUAUGAAAAGAUUUCUGGGCAGAAGGUCAAUAGUGAUAAAAGUUUUUUCAUAGCACUAAUUUUAUGGACAAAAUCUUUCCUUUCAACUAUCUUGGAUUGCCUAUUUUUAUUGAAAAAAAAGGAGAAUUGCUUACUUCAAUUCAAUACUAUGGUAGAAAAAGUUGUGAAUAGACUUAAAGGUUGGCAAAGUAAUAUGCUUUCUUUUGGAGGUAGAAUUGUUUUUAUCAAACAUGUCUUACAAUCUUUACCUGUUUACAUUUUGUCUGCUCUUAUCCCUCCCAAAGGCGCUCUUGAUUUGAUAGAAAAACACUUCUCUAAUUUUUUCUGUGAAUUUUCUGGAGAUAAAGCUAAAUAUCAUUGGUAUGCUUGGGCCUUGGAAUAAAAUAUGUUUACCCUAGAAAGAAGGUAGACUUUUUAUUAGAAGUAUGAAUGUGAUAUGGCUGUCAAGAGAUGGUGGAGAUAUAGAACUAUUCCUUCCAUGUGGGCAGACUUUCUUAAUGCUAAAUAUUGUAGUAGGGUCAAUGCUAUUGCUAGAGUCACAACAAACAAUACAUCUUAAUGCUGGAAGCAAAUGAUGUAUAUAAAGCAUUUGGCUGAGCCCAACAUCAUAUGUCAAAUACAAGCAGGCAACAACACCUUUUGGUGGGACAAUUGGUCUGGCAUAGGGGCAAUAGCUAGACUCACUCAUGGGAGACACUCAUACUCCAAGGAAACUAUUUAGGAUUACCUCAACCAAGAAGGGUGGAAUAUUGAUAAGCUUAAUAAUGUUCUGGCCCCUCAUCUGAUACAACAUGUGCUAACAAUUUCAAUUGGUGACAGGAACAAGAGAGACUACCCUAUAUGAAAACCA
rnacentral:lncRNA from 1 species